rnacentral:rRNA from 1 species
UACGUAGGGGGCAAGCGUUGUCCGGAUUUAUUGGGCGUAAAGAGCGUGUAGGCGGCCAGACAGGUCAGCUGUGAAAACUCGAGGCUCAACCUCGAGACGUCGGUUGAAACCGUAUGGCUAGAGUCCGGAAGAGGAGAGUGGAAUUCCCGGUGUAGCGGUGAAAUGCGCAGAUAUCGGGAAGAACACCCGUGGCGAAGGCGGCUCUCUGGGACGGUACUGACGCUGAGACGCGAAAGCGUGGGGAGCGAACAGG